AUUGAACGCUGGCGGCAGGCCUAACACAUGCAAGUCGGACGGUAGCACAGAGGAGCUUGCUCCUCGGGUGACGAGUGGCGGACGGGUGAGUAAUGUCUGGGGAUCUGCCCGAUAGAGGGGGAUAACCACUGGAAACGGUGGUAAAUCCCGCAUAACGCAGCAAGACCAAAGAGGGGGACCUUCGGGCCUCUAACUACCGGAAAAACCCAGAUGGGAUUAGCUAGUAGGCGGGGUAACGGCCCACCUAGGCGACGAUCCCUAGCUGGUCUGAGAGGAUGACCAGCCACACUGGAACUGAGACACGGUCCAGACUCCUACGGGAGGCAGCAGUGGGGAAUAUUGCACAAUGGGCGCAAGCCUGAUGCAGCCAUGCCGCGUGUAUGAAGAAGGCCUUCGGGUUGUAAAGUACUUUCAGCGGGGAGGAAGGCGAUGUGGUUAAUAACCGCGUCGAUUGACGUUACCCGCAGAAGAAGCACCGGCUAACUCCGUGCCAGCAGCCGCGUAA
rnacentral:rRNA from 1 species